AAAAACACUUCAAUCAAAAUUGAAAGACAGCUCAAGUACAUUUCUUGGAGCAAUAACUAAUAUUUAUUCGUAAAAAGUCUUACUACAAGUUUUCCCAAAAUUCCCUGAACUUUGAAUUAAGGAAAAACAGGCAGCACGUGUUGUGUAACAGGCGCUCUUCACACAGCGCACACGCACACAUAAACAAAGGCGGUGCUGGGAGCCACUUCAACAUGCAGACUACCUUGCGAGAAAGCGGGACGCUGUUAACAAAGCCAUGAAAAAAACGAGAAAACGCUGAGGAGGUGGGGAAAGAGAGACGCAGACAAAAAGACUCCGCUUCUCCCUGCUUGGACUGAAAAACAGCUUCGGAAGAAAACAAACUACAAUAUAAUUGCUCUCUCCUGAGAUCAGUAUGAGGGCUAAUUUUACGCAGCACCUGAGGAAUUCUGGAUGAUGAGGUUCUUGUGCCAGCGGGAAAAAAAUAAAUAACACUCAGGAUGGACCCCAAAGAGCAAGCAGUGAGUCUUCUGAGCAAGAUUUGGGCCAAGCUGCAGAAUUUGCCCGAUGCCGACCCCGUCGAUCUGGGAGCUUUCUUCAUCCUCUUAACGUUCAUCUUGGUGGUUGUUGCCAUGGCCGUCCUGAUCUGCACGACAUAUUGUUGCUGUUGUCGCAAGGCUAAAAAGGAGGGGACUAACCUUUGACUAUCUAAACGACACCCAGCUAUUAUGUGCACUACUUAUCCUCAUUAAGUUACUUUCAAUCGCUCGUAAAACUUAAAAACUGGUUGCCUAUCACGCCUCAGCAAGACGACCUGUUUGCAAAUGUGGCCAGGCUGGGUGUGUCCGAGGAGCGAGAAGAAGCCCAGCCCUCUUUAACAACUCAACUGACAGCGAUGUCCUAACUUAGUGCCAAGCCACUUGAUGGAGCUGACUGUCAGGACAAUCGACAUUCCUUGAAUUAAAUGUCUCCAACAACAUCGGUCCUGGUUGGAGGACAGGACACAUCCAAACCAUUAUUUAACAUGUUUACUCUAUGUCUUUUCUAAGAUGGGCCAAUAGACAUGGCGAUUGAAAUGAACAUGCCUUUUUUAUAUUUCAAAACCCAAUUUAUAUUUUACUGUCUGCUUUUACCUCAUUUGUAAAUAAUGCUGAUAAUUGUACUGAGCUGCUGUUAGAGGACAGCCUCAAACUAAAAUUUUUGCUCAUUGAGUGGUCAAGUCUGCUCUCUGCUGUACAUAAAAGGGAAUGAAACCAAUUUCGGACUAAAUCUUCUGCAGCAUUAAUGAGGAAGUUAACCCAAGAUAUUCUUUGUAAAGAUUGUCGGAGACUGUCCUGAGCCGUAAUUGGCAGACAACAUAUUAUCCGAAAGAAAAUGUGGGGGUGUGGACAUUUACUGGAAUAAAAGGGUAUGAGCCAGUAGACAAUGUGACAUCAUCACUUACCUUUCCUGCUCACAAAAACGAACCAUGGCGUCGAAGUCUGCUAUGGCCGUGUUGUCGGAUUCCUUUGCAUAACCUCGUUUGUUCUGCAGGUUUUAAAUGAUGGUGAAAAUAUGGUGUCAUGAAUAAAAGUUCAGCUUCUCUCUUU